rnacentral:rRNA from 1 species
AUUGAACGCUAGCGGCAUGCCUUACACAUGCAAGUCGAACGGAGUGGCGAACGGGCGAGUAAUGAAUCGGUACGUGCCCAGUAGCGGGGGAUAACUACGCGAAAGCGUAGCUAAUACCGCACACUAUUGGAGCGGCCGAUAUGGGAUUAGCUAGUUGGUGGGGUAAAGGCUCACCAAGGCGACGAUCCGUAGCUGGGUUGAGAGGACGACCAGCCAAACUGGGACUGAGACACGGCCCAGACUCCUACGGGAGGCAGCAGUGGGGAAUUUUGGACAAUGGGGGCAACCCUGAUGCAGCCAUGCCGCGUGUGUGAAGAAGGCCUUCGGGUUGUAAAGCACUUUUGGCAGGGAAGCGGUACCUACAGAAUAAGCACCGGCUAACUACGUGCCAGCAGCCGCGGUAAUUC